rnacentral:misc_RNA from 1 species
UCCGAGUUGUCCCCGGCGGUCCCCUUAGAGUCCCCGGCAUUACCCGCUGGCAACUAAGAGCAGGGGUUGCGCUCGUUGCGGCACUUAAGCCAACACCUCACGGCACGAGCUGACGACCUGCGUCAUCCCAUCUUUCGAUUGGGGCAGGACUAUACCUUCACCCGAUGUAUCGACCAUCGGGGCCGGCGUAUUGCACCACUCUUAGAUUUGGGAUCUCUCCCAAGAAGCGAUGCCAUUGCAGUCUCUACAGGGUGAACGACGUCUUCGAUCGCCGACGAUCUCGAUCGUUCA